GGCGGACGGGUGAGUAAUGUAUAGUUAAUCUGCCCUUUAGAGGGGGAUAACAGUUGGAAACGACUGCUAAUACCCCAUACUCCUUUUUAUCUUAAUGAUAAUUGGGAAACGUUUUUUCGCUAAAGGAUGAGACUAUAUGGUAUCAGGUAGUUGGUGGGGUAAGAGCCUACCAAGCCUAUGACGCCUAGCUGGUCUGAGAGGAUGAUCAGCCACACUGGAACUGAGACACGGUCCAG
rnacentral:rRNA from 1 species